UGUGCCUGCAGGCUGGCUGAGAGUCUCCUGCUCCGGCUGAGCUCAGCUGGGAGCUGGGGCUGCAGCUCUGGUCUUCGUCUGCUCGACUUUCUAUCACCUUCCUUGAGCCACCAGGCUGGCUGGGGAUGAUGCUUCUUAUGAUGAAAAGCGGGAGAACAGGAGGGGCAGCAGCAACCUGCAAGGCCUCUCACAGCCUGGCUUUUCUAGAACAUCGUCGGUUCUACCCACAUGCCAUUGACCACAGCAAGUCAUUCACGAUGGGCCAAUCGUCUGCCAGGCCUGCCUGCCUUUAGAGACGGACCCUGGAGAGCUGCCCUGCCCCUGCUGCCGUGUGAGGACACCAUGAGAAGGAACUGUCUAUGAACCCAAAAGUGGGACCCUCACCCGACAUCAGAUCUGCUGGCACCUUGAUCUUCGACUUCUCAGCCUUCAGAACCAAGGACAUGUUUGCUUCCCCUUCUGCCACGACUGUAAGUUUCCUGAGGCCUCCCUAGCCAUGCAGAACUAUGAGUCAAUUAAACCUCUUUUCUUCACAAAUUACCCAGUCUCAGGUAUUUCUUCACAGCAGCAUGAGAGCAGACUAAUUCAGGGCCCACGUUCUCUCAUUCUCUCACCUGGAAUCUGGGUGGGCUUGCAUUGGCUUUCAUUCCAUCCAGUAGGGCAGAAGUGACACCAUGUGACUUUGCAGGCUGGCUCAGAGAAGACCACGUGUCUUUCGCUACGUUUGCUCCGGGACCCCCUGAGCCAUCAUUAAUUGCCUAAAUACCCUGAAGGCUGAAGCCACAGUGCUGGUGAGACCAUGUGGUGAUACCACAUGGAGGCCCUGAUACCCACAGAAAGACAGGGAGAUCUGAAUAGGUGUCCCAGCCCAGGCACCAUAUGGAUGAGUGAAGAAGCUUCCAGAUGAUUCCAGAUCACAGCCAUUUGAGUCACCUCUACCCUUUGGGUCUUCCUGGAUGAGGCCCAGACAUCAUGGAGACAAACCUUAUCUUCUGUGCCAUACCCAAAUUCCUGAUCCACAGAAUUUGUGCAUGCAACAAUGAUGGGUAUGUUGUGUCACUAAGUUUUGGGUUAUUUUGAUAUAUAGCAGUUGAU